CUCUCGAUGUAAAGAAAAUGCUGACUACACUUCCUUUUCAUUAUUUUUCCGAAGUUCAACCCGUCAAGAGGUUAAUACAGUUGAGCGUCAAGUCUUCUAUCUAAAAACCAUGAAGUUCUCAUCUGCCAUAGUGGUACUGAUGAUUUCUAUCACCAUUCUUUCUUCGAAUGCACAGAUUGGUAGUUCUCAAUUAGCGACACCCUAAGUUGAAGUUGCCCAGC